rnacentral:rRNA from 1 species
AACGUAGGAGGCAAGCGUUAUCCGGAGUUACUGGGCGUAAAGAGUGCGUAGGCGGAUUGAUAAGUGGGUGGUGAAAGCGCCCGGCUAAACCGGGCGAGGUCCAUUCAGACUGUCAGUCUAGAGGCGGAUAGAGGGGUGCGGAAUUCCGGGUGGAGUGGUGAAAUGCGUAGAGAUCCGGAGGAACACCAAAGGCGAAGGCAGUGUCCUGGGGAGUACCUGACGCUCAGGUGCGAAAGCCAGGGGAGCGAACGGG